rnacentral:rRNA from 1 species
AUACGGAGGGUCCAAGCGUUAUCCGGAAUCAUUGGGUUUAAAGGGUCCGUAGGCGGACAAUUAAGUCAGAGGUGAAAGCCCACAGCUCAACUGUGGAACUGCCUUUGAUACUGGUUGUCUUGAAUUAUAGUGAAGUAGAUAGAAUAUGUAGUGUAGCGGUGAAAUGCAUAGAUAUUACAUAGAAUACCGAUCGCGAAGGCAGUCUACUAACUAUAUAUUGACGCUGAUGGACGAAAGCGUGGGGAGCGAACAGGAUUAGAAACCCUAGUAGUCC